rnacentral:misc_RNA from 1 species
GUGAAUCAUCGAAUCUUUGAACGCAAAUUGCACUCUCUGGUAUUCCGGAGAGUAUGCCUGUUUGAGGGUCAGUUUAAAUAAAAAUCGGUGUGGUUGCUGCCUUUCGUGGUGACGGUCCGGAUGUAGUUCGCUUUGCUUUCGGUUAAGUGCCUUAAAUUUUUGCAUGAUUUUUUCGAUCGUUUUUUAAUGUUU